rnacentral:tRNA from 1 species
UGGGAGAGCUAGCUGAGUGGUUGAUAGCUCCGGUCUUGAAAACCGGUAUAGUUUCGAACAAAGAACUAUCAAGGGUUCAAAUCCCUCUCUCUCAU